CCUACAAACAAGGUCAUGCUCAAGGUCAGAACCGGACCUCCAGGUACGUAUGUUGCGUAGGGCCCAACAAAUUAAGCAGCCAUGAAGAAACAGAGGAAAAAAAAAUCUACGAAAGUGACCUGCGGGAUCAGCACUAAGGGUGAAGGUGCUCGUGCUGUCCCCCUGGCAGGCCAUGUCGGCUUUGACAGCAUGCCUGACCAGCUGGUCAACAAAUCUGUCAACCACGGAUUCUGCUUCAACAUCCUCUGUGUUGGUGAGACGGGACUGGGGAAGUCCACCCUGAUGGACACAUUGUUCAACACCAAGUUUGAGGGCGAGCCGACCCAGCACAACCAGCCGGGAGUCACGCUCAAGUCCAACACCUAUGAGCUCCAGGAGAGUAACGUGCGCCUCAAACUCACUGUUGUCAACACUGUGGGCUUUGGAGACCAGAUCAAUAAAGAGGACAGCUACAAGUCCAUUGUGGAGUUUAUUGAUGCCCAGUUUGAAGCAUAUCUCCAGGAGGAACUAAAAAUCAAGCGCACGCUACACAGCUACCAUGACACCCGCAUCCACGCAUGCCUGUACUUUAUUGCUCCUACAGGACACUCACUGAAAUCAUUGGACUUGGUGACCAUGAAGAAACUUGACAGCAAGGUCAAUAUAAUCCCAAUCAUUGCCAAGUCAGACGCCAUCUCCAAAAGCGAGCUGGCCAAGUUCAAAAUCAAAAUCACCAGUGAGCUGGUCAGCAAUGGAGUGCAGAUCUACCAGUUCCCAACUGAUGACGAAUCUGUGGCAGAGAUCAACUCCACAAUGAAUAGCCAUUUGCCGUUUGCCGUGGUGGGGAGCACAGAGGAAGUGAAGAUUGGGAACAAGAUGGUGAAGGCCCGGCAGUACCCCUGGGGAACGGUGCAGGUGGAAAACGAGAAUCACUGUGACUUCGUCAAACUGCGAGAAAUGCUGAUCAGAGUCAACAUGGAGGACCUGCGAGAACAGACUCACACACGCCACUAUGAGCUGUACCGCCGCUGCAAACUGGAGGAGAUGGGCUUUAAGGACACGGACCCCGACUGCAAGCCCUUCAGUCUGCAGGAAACAUAUGAAGCUAAGAGGAACGAGUUCAUGGGCGAGCUGCAGAAAAAAGAGGAAGAAAUGAGGCAAAUGUUCGUCCAAAGAGUCAAAGAGAAGGAGGCUGAGCUGAAAGAAGCAGAGAAAGAGCUGCAUGAGAAGUUUGACCGUUUGAAGAAGCUCCACCAGGACGAGAAAAAGAAAGUGGAGGACAAGAAGAAAUCUCUGGACGACGAGCUAAAUACGUUCAAACAGAAAAAGACUGCCGCAGAGCUCUUGCAGAAUCAAGCUCAGCAGGCAGGGGGCUCCACCACGCUCAAGAGGGAGAAAGAGAGGAAAAACUGAUGAUUUGACUCCGUGCCUGUUAAAAAAGGAAGAAGACACUUGCACUGAGAAGCUUAGGAUCCCUGUAGAAAAAGUGCUCCCUUGUGGCCAUCCUGCUGUGAAUGAGUUUCCACCCCAUCAACCUUUUACCGUAUCCCUUCCCCACCCUCACCCAUCCCCCAUAAUUCAACCCUCCACGUGCCUCCCCCUGCUCUGUGGAAGACGCUGGCCAUUGCUAUCAGUUUUACACCACUUUUUUUUUCUUUUUUGCUGAAUGAUGCUCGUCUGUCAUUUGGUUUGUACAAGCAAUUAUCCAGCUUGUCUUUUUAUACACAAAAAUGCAUUCCAUAUUUUUUUUAUAUACAGCGAUUCUUUGCAUGAUGGAGUGAGCUUUGUUAAUAUUAACAUACAUGACCACUGUUGUGAUGGGCAGAAAUGUGUUGAGUCUAAAGAGAAACAUGAAUCGGCACUGGGACAGUGAAGAAAGAAUUGAGACAAUUGAAGACUGAUGCAAGGAUGGAUUCAGUAAAUGUUGUAAAAAACCUGAUGCAGCUUCAUUUCAGUGAUUCUUAAUUUGACACCACAUCAGUGACCCAGCUGUCCUCACCUUGAGACUGUAAAAAACUAUUACCAACAUAUUUGUAAGUAGUUGAUAAUCAGGCUGGAAGUAGUUUGUUACUGGUUUAAAGUGAUAUAUUUUUAAUUUUAAUCCUGGUUGAUUUGGCGACACCAGGGAUUAUUACCACGGAAACUACUAGUGAGGUUUUAUAUAGCAAAAAAUUGUGAGCACCUCCUUUUUUCAGAAAUGCAACAGCAGAGCAACUGGUUUAUUUGUUUUCAACGCGGCCACUUGUUUAAAAAAAAAAAAUCUGUCAAAAAUUGACGUCCAAUUCGAGUAGUUACUCCCUGCAGUAUUUAAAACUACACUUUUAUAGGCACAUUUUUGAUCAAACACUUAUCAUAGUGACAAAUGCAUUGCAUUUCCUCCCACACGCUUCACAAUUUGAUCGGUAUCAAAAAUGAGUUAAUUUCAUAAAAAUCUUAGGGAUUAGAACAUGGUGCGACUAGUUAAAUCCAAGUUUAGGACUCGGAUUAAAAUUUUGAAUUUUUUCUAUUUUGGUAUUUCUGUCCCUUUGCUAAUGUUGUUUCACUUUAGCCAGGUGCAUGAGUAAAUGUGAGCCUAAUCUCUUUUCCACCUCUGCCAUACCUCAUUCAUUGUCAUGUGUUAUGUGCAUAUUUGUAUUAGCUUUCACAUUUGCACUUUUUUUAUAUACACAAAUGUGAUGUUUUUUUAAGUAUAUAUAUAUAUAAUAUGAUAAUGUUUUCAGUGCAAUUGUAACUUUCUUUUUGUUUUACUUACUAUGAAGGCACAUUUAAAAAGUUAUUGAUCUUGAUGUCCAUUGUCCUGCAGGGACCAGUGUUAUUUGUAUCAGUGUUGCGAACAUAAAAAAAAAUAUAUAUAUAUAUAACUAAUAUCUCAAAAGACAAUAAAGGCCAAUUUUUCACCAAAUGUUACAGCUGUGGCCAUAAUCAUUGUGUAUGACAAAUAUUGAUGUAAAUUAAGAGAUUAACUGAACCUCAGUGGGUAAACUGGCUAUGCAGUGAAUGAAUGUUGAUGCCAUUGAGAUGUACAUUUAUAUUUGUCACAGCUUUGAUUAACAUCCUAAAGUCUUUUUUUUGUUGCUCUUAGCCCUAUUACUUUAACUUUUUUUUAAUGUUCGCGCUCAGGAUCACUGGGCAACUUUUAUGUGAAUUAUUCCUUGUUUUUGUUGUUUUGCCAAUUCAAGGUUCAAGGCUGCUUUCAUUAUGAAAGGGAAGACUGUCUUGGAUUGAAGACAUUGAUGCAUUAAAAAUGUUAUUGUCAGGUCCAAAAAAACAUCUCGAUACAUUCCCACCUCCUAACCCUCCGCUCACUGGUCUGUGUGGUUUCACUUUUCCUUUGCAGUAAUCCCUGGCUCUGCACUGAGUAGGUCCCCAACCCUCGAGCUUUGCUAAGGGACCAGCCUUUGUCAGUGCUAAGUACCUCAAAUGUGACCAGAGGCUUUUUGGACCCCUUCCUUCAGGGUUUCUUAAUCAUUACCUGCUCCUGCUAUGAUAUGGGUUGAUGUAUAUUUGUGUUCACUGCUGCUCUAACCUCAUCAUAGGAAAUCUAAUUCUUGCUUCAUUCCCUCUGCUUUAUGCUCAAUGUGUGAACUGUUUUUUGUUGUUGUUGUUGUUGUUGCUGUGACUAAUGCCCUUUUCCACUUUUAUUAGAUUAGAUGCACACGUUCUGUAAUGUUUGGAAAGCACAUUUAAACCGUGGCUCACUUAAGCUGUUUUCAGACAUGAACUCUGGAACAUUUUCCGAAAAAUUGGGUCUGGACUUUUUCCGGAGUUUGCCAUUCACAUUAUGAAGAACGAAGUAGGAGAUUUUCCAUGUCAGACGUGUUCACAGCAGCAGGAAAAUUAGUGGAACAUUCAGGUGAGGGGUGGCGCCAGGGUAGAGCGCCCACUCUGCUGUAUUCACACAUGGGCUCACAGACAUUUUUUUCUGGAAAUUUUACAAGGGGGUUGGCAGGAAAAGUUCUGGAAACUGUCCAGAGCAACAUUUGCGUUCUCACAUGCAGCCCCUCUGGAAAAAGCUCUGGAAAAUGUCAGGACUAAAGUACAUGUCCAAAAGCAGCUUUAGAUGGACCACAUUCUCACAUUCUAGUAGAUCUGUUUUAACAAUCACCAGAGGGCACGGUAUCAUUUUCUUAUACACACUAUGUAUUGUUUAAAUAACUUCAAUCAAAGGGGUUUCACUGCCUGAUUUUGUAUUCAUGAUCAAUUUUCUUCCUGAUGUCUGAUGCACUUCGAAAUCUUUACUCUGGCCCUUGAAGUUUUUUUAAAGUGUUUCGGCUUUACCAACUCUCCUAACUGCUGGCUUUCUCUCUUUGUCUCUUCAGCUUCUUUUAAUCUGUCUUGGCCACCUGAAGAGGGGAUUGCAGCUUCAGCAGAACUAAGCACCCUUUACCUCUUCCUGUUUUUCUCAUCGCAUCAACCUUUUAUAUAUUUUCUCCCCAUCGCAUCUCCUUUUGUUGACUAUGGCCUUAUGUGGACUCGCAUGGUAUUUCUGGCCACCUAAUGAAGCUCUAAACCGAGGCAGGUUGGGUUUCGGACAAAGUUGAAAAUCUGCUAUUAUGUCUUAAUGUAUAUAAAGCUUGUAGUUCAUGGAAGUCAUCAGUAUAGGGCUUUACACAUCUACAGGGCUUGAGGACUUGAAAUACAAUUGCAAAUGACCUACACUAUGCACUCAUCUUAGUAGGAUUCUUAAUGCAAAGUGCACAUUAGAAAUAAACCGUGAAACAUUGAAACUUGCUGAUUAAACAAGGACAGAAGCACUUAAUGCACCAUGUGUAAUGUGUUCCCAAGUACAAUAUAAUGAGAUGGACAAUAAUCAGGACUCUUGUGCAUCUACUCCCUUUAAAAAAAAAAAGCAUCCUGCAUCCAGGUCAUCUAAAUAUCGAAAUUAAAUGGCAGAAUUAAAAUAGUCAUAAUCAUCAAAAGCCAAAGCAAUAUUUAUACUUAGCAAAUCAUUUUAUGGUACCCAUGUUUACACGGCACUGUUGAAUACCAUGCAGGUCACAUGUCAUGGCCUUUAAUUACACACUGUGCUUUAAUAUUCACAAGCCUAUUUUUUAUUUUGCAUGCGUCUUUUUUUAUUUGAUUACCGCUGUGAUGACCUGCUUGUUUUUAUCCCCUUAUUACUCAGUUUUGCAGCCUAUUUCAAUUUCCUUGCUGUUUUUUUCAAAAUGGUGCAAAUUAUUAAUGUAUAUUUUAACUGUCCUCUGAUUUCAGCUCCCAUUUUGCCAAAUAUUAGAAUAAGAUGAGGUUAAACUGAAUCCAGAUGGGAGUAUAAAAAAAUACUCAUGCAUUUAUAUAAUUUAUAAGGAUAUAUUUUGUGUAUUGAAGUGGAGACUUGUUGUUUAUUACCUAUGACCUUUGGACGUGUCUCUCAGUGUAAAGUAAUAUUUUGGUGUCAGACAUUGCCAUACAUUUUUCUAGUAUCAGUCAUCACCACUUAAAAAAAACCUCCCCCAUACUACAAAUUAUUUAAUAUCUUACUUAAGUUUGAUUCCAUUGAUGUACAUUUUCAAUAAAAAACUCGAUCCAAA